CCUACGGGUGGCUGCAGUGGGGAAUAUUGCACAAUGGGGGAAACCCUGAUGCAGCGACGCCGCGUGAGUGAAGAAGUAUUUCGGUAUGUAAAGCUCUGUCAGCAGGGAAGAAAAUGACGGUACCUGACCAAGAAGCCCCGGCUAACUACGUGCCAGCAGCCGCGGUAAUACGUAGGGGGCAAGCGUUAUCCGGAUUUACUGGGUGUAAAGGGAGCGUAGACGGCAGGGCAAGUCUGGAGUGAAAGGCGGGGGCUCAACCCCCGGACUGCUCUGGAAACUGCCAGGCUGGAGUGCAGGAGAGGUAAGUGGAAUUCCUAGUGUAGCGGUGAAAUGCGUAGAAAUAAGGAAGAACACCAGUGGCGAAGGCGGAUGACUGGACGGCAACUGACGGUGAGGCGCGAAGGCGUGGGGAGCAAACAGGAUUAGAUACCCUAGUAGUC
rnacentral:rRNA from 1 species